UCUCCCACGUUACAGUUUGACUCCUGCUUUUCCAGAUCACACACUGGAACAGCGACACAGUCACACGUGCACUAAACUCUGUGUCGUGCACUCGAGGGGCGGUGUAUAAUGUGAGUAGCUGUGUGUUCCAGUCAAGCAGAGUUUAUCCAGACUGAAAUGUUGCAACAGAAGUCGAGUUUGUUGGCCAGAAUGACUCAACAUUUGGACGCCGAGAUGGGGUGGAGCACCGGUCCCUCUGUGUCGCUUACGCACGACUUUCUGAGCACAGAAACACAGCUGAUCAGUGACAGGACCGCACACGGAGCCAUAAACACAGCCCACUCAGCUGUGGGCUCCACCUGCUAAUUAGCACCAGUGCAAUGUUAUUUUAAUCAGGAAGGCGGAGCGGCGAGCCUGCGUAGAGGCAUUUUUUUCUUUUGGCUCCCGUCCAUCAGAAUUUCUUCUCGUUAAUCCCGAUUAAUCCCGACUAAUGCUUCUUUUGUCCAAAGACACGUCAUCAGCAGGCCUCCUCCUUUUUCUGCCCGACUUCAAACAAAUCAAUUACUGCAGGACGAGCUGGCUCUGUGCCGCCGGUGGCGCGUUUUUGCUGCUGUUAACAGACAGGCACGGAGGGAUUAGGAAAUCAUAAUUAAUCCUGAAAUGCUGAAGCACAUAUUUCAUGUCAGAGCGUUUAGAUAUACGGCACACGCUUGCAUAGCGAGUGGUCUAGCUGAAAGGACGUUGGGCUGCUGUCACCGAUGUCUGCGUCCCGUCUCCGCCCAUAUGUGCUCGCAGUUAGGCUGCAUUUGAUGUGUAAUUGUGCAUAAUUUCCCCAAAGUCAAUUAGCGACGCUUCUGAGCCCCUUAGAGUGAGAUUUAUCAGAGCCCACUCCACCCAAAGCAACAAAAUGGCAUCUGUCUGUAGCUCCCCCCACCGCCACCCCCUCCCUCUAAAUCUCUACUGGAAGGACUGGUAAUUCUGGACCUGUUCAGCUGUUGUACCAUUUGUUAAUGAGAAAUAAUUAAUAAGCAGAGCUGCUGUUGUCGUUCUUGUUGGACCAUCUGCUUUGAGUGUCACCACACAAACUUCAUCCUGGUCACUGCUUUGUGCCGAAGAUUCAAGCAGCAGAAUUAUUAUUUUUCUUUGCUGCUAACUGCUGAUCAACCUGAUAGUGACUGAAACGCAGUUUGCGCCGCCUGUUCUGGGGAUGAACACUAAAACAUGAGACUCCAUCAUUCGACAGCUACGCCCACCUCAAUAGUUUGAUAGCACACUAGUGAUGAAAGACUCAUUGGGAGUUGUGUUGUUAUAUACAGAAUAAUUUAUACCACCCACUGAAAUCCACCAAGGAGGCUAGCUAGCAGAAGGCCAGAGUUUCAGCUUACGCUUGCUUUAAGUUGUUGCCAAUCCAUUUUUAGCUGGUACAGCAUCUGAAAGUGUGCAAAAGAGCUUCAGUGAGACAAGUGAAAAUAUCACUUCACUUCUACAAUAACUGAAAUAUUUAUUAUGUAUGAUUUUAUCCAUCUAGCAUGUGCUGCUUAUUCAGGUUCAGGUCGUGGGGCAGGCUAAGCAGAGACACCCCAGACCUCCCUCUCUGAGUUUCUCCCUCACUGGAGUUUCUCCAGUGUGACCUGCGUCUGCCUCAGGUGCGAUACCCUCAGAGCAGCUGACCGAGGAGGCGUCCUGAUCUCAGUCUUAUAAUCACAGCUUGUGGACUGGAUAUAAAAGAUGGUCGUACCCACAGAGGUUUCACACACUGGUUUACAAACCUCAGGUUGACACUUUGUUAGCAACAUUGCUGCUGCUAUGCUGGCUUUUCAGAGAUAACAUAGAUCAUUUAGCAAAGAGCUAAAUUUAACGAUAGCUUAGUUGUGUGGGUGCUGAUGGUGUAUGAUUGUGUCUCACUGUUAAAAUUGUAAAUAUGAACAUGUGUGCUGUUUAAGCAGUUCAGUUGUGCUUUAAAUGCUUUGAAAUGCUUAAAAUGAGCAGUGGAGAUAAAAAUAGAUGGUUUAUGGUCACAUGCAUGUUUUCCUGCUGCUUCAGCUUUGGAUACAAACACAGUGUUGGGUAAACUAACAUUACCUGAGAGGAAAAUGACAAAAAAGAGACAAAGUUGCAGAAGUUUUGCUUACUUGGUAAUUAAAGAUAAUGAGAUGCCCUCGUGGAGAGAGUGAAGCAGAACUUACUGUAAUUACUCAGUUUGAAACUUCUGUCUCUGACUAAUAUGUCGCAGCCAUAAAGGUUUGAAAUGGAGAAAACGCGACAUAAAGCGUCUCUUAUCACUGUGAUUCAGUCAGGAGUGUUACUAUCCAACAUUUUUACAUCUGCACACAUGCUGUCAUUGUACUUAUUUAUUGAAAAAUGUUAAGAAAA